rnacentral:misc_RNA from 1 species
GUGAAAAGUGGUGCCGAUGGUUUCGUGAUUAAAAUGAGGGAUGGUAGGCACUUAAGGUGUGUUCACAACAACCCUCACGGUGGGCAUCUGCCUGAUUAUGCUCCACAUCCUGCAAUUGUGCUGAAGAUGGAAGAUGGGACUGGCCUUCUUCUUCCCAUAAUCGUGUUGGAAAUGCCCAGUGUGCUGCUUAUGGCUGCUGUGCGCAAUGUUCCAAUUGCCAGACCAACUAUGUAUCAAGUG